AUCCAGCUGAUGAGUCCCAAAUAGGACGAAACGCUUGAAU
rnacentral:hammerhead_ribozyme from 1 species